UAAAUCGACUAAUGACGCUGGCGGAUGCUUACACCUGCAGUCGAACGGUAACAGGUCUUCGGAUGCUGACGAGUGGCGAACGGGUGAGUAUACAUCGGAACGUGCCCGAGAGUGGGGGAUAACGAAGCGAAAGCUUUGCUGAUACCGCAUACGAUCUCAGGAUGAAAGCAGGGGACCGCAAGGCCUUGCGCUCACGGAGCGUGCGAUGGCAGAUUAGGUAGUUGGUGGAUAAAAGCUUACCAAGCCGACGAUCUGUAGCUGGUCUGAGAGGACGACCAGCCACACUGGGACUGAGACACGGCCCAGGCUCCUACGGGAGGCAGCAGUGGGGAAUUUUGGACAAUGGGCGCAAGCCUGAUCCAGCCAAUGCCGCGUGCAGGAUGAAGGCCUUCGAGUUGUAAACUGCUUUUGUACGGAACGAAAAGACUCUGGUUAAUAACUGGGGUCCAUGACGGUACCGUAAGAAUAAGCACCGGCUAACUACGUGCCAAACAAACGCGGAUAAUACGUAAGGUGCGAACGUAAAUCGGAAUUAAUGGGCGUAAAGCGUGCGCAAGCGGAUAUGUAAGACAGAUGUGAAAUCCCCGGGAUCAAACUGGGAACUGCAUUAGUGACUGAAUAGCUAAAGUACAGCAAAGGGGCUGGAAAUACGCCU
rnacentral:rRNA from 1 species